rnacentral:rRNA from 1 species
AUUGAACGCUGGCGUCAGGCCUAACACAUGCAAGUCGAGCGAGCGGCGGACGGGUGAGUAAUGUAUGGGGACUGCCCGCUAGAGGGGGAUAACUACUGGAAACGGUAGCUCAUACCGCAUACUAUCGGAUAACCCAUAGGGUAUUAGCUCGUUGGGUAGGUAAUGGCUCACCAAGGCGACGAUCCCUAGCUGGUCUGAGAGGAUGAUCAGCCACACUGGGAAUGAGACACGGCCCAGACUCCUACGGAGGCAGCAGUGGGGAAUAGUGCACAAUGGGCGCAAGCCUGAUGCAGCCAUGCCGCGUGUAUGAAGAAGGCCUUAGGGUUGUAAAGUUCUUUCGGUAGCGAGGCGUUAACUACAGAAGAAGCACCGGCUAACUCCGUGCCAGCAGCCGCGGUAAUAC